UGUGUGUUAGUGGAAGCGUCUGGAAAGGCGCGCGAUACAGGGUGACAGCCCCGUACACAAAAAUGCACAUAUUGUGAGCUCGAUGAGUAGGGCGGGACACGUGGUAUCCUGUCUGAAUAUGGGGGGACCAUCCUCCAAGGCUAAAUACUCCUGACUGACCGAUAGUGAACCAGUACCGUGAGGGAAAGGCGAAAAGAACCCCGGCGAGGGGAGUGAAAAAGAACCUGAAACCGUGUACGUACAAGCAGUGGGAGCCUCUUUUAUGGGGUGACUGCGUACCUUUUGUAUAAUGGGUCAGCGACUUAUAUUCUGUAGCA
rnacentral:rRNA from 1 species